rnacentral:antisense_RNA from 1 species
AUGGGGAGAACAGGAGGAACCUGCAAAGGAGAAUGAAAAGGAGUGGAGUCAGGUGUCUCGGCAGCCAAAGGAGGAAGUGGUCGCCUCUGACAGACAGUGCCGACAGGCCAAGUAAGGCACAGUUGAAGAAAUGUGUUACUGACAAGCCUGCAGGCCACAUGGUGAGAUGGAAAGCAAGCGGUAAAGACCAAAGAAACUCGUUGAGGACAAUGGAAGAUGGGCUCAGAAGAAAAUGGAUACAGCUGAAGCUAGAUGGGUCAUGGGUGAAAGCAGGACAGGACCUCAUUCUCCAACAGAUACCAAGUCCAUAAAAGCCCUGGGCUCAGCCAGAGCAGGGCAGAAGAGAGAGACUAUGGGACAACCAGCAGCAGAGAGGAACUACCCUCCCUGCUGAGAGCUUCAGAGACACGCAGAGAUGUCUGAACAAGCUGCUGUGGAGAGGAGCCACCCUCCCCAGGGCCUCCUCUCUGCUGAGAGCAGCAGAUGGUGGAAUGAGCAGUGGGCAGAGAGGAGCCACCCUCUCCAGGGCCGCCUCUUUGCUGAGAGCUGAACACUCCAUGGGAUGACCUGCCUACAGAGAGGAGCUACCCACUGUGGGUCUCUUCUGAGCUGUUCUAACACUAAAUAAACCUCCUUUUCACCUUC